ACCUGGGUGGCUCAGUCGGUUGAGUGUCCGACUUCAGCUCAGGUCAUUAUCUCAUGGUUUGUGGGUUUGAGCCCCACGCCAGGCU
rnacentral:tRNA from 1 species